CCCACCCACGGAGGGGGGCACCCGCCUGCGGGGCCAUUUCCGAGGGCUGCAGGCAGAUGGUGCGGGCGUGCGUGUGCUCAGGGCCUCGGACCAGCCCUGCUCCCGGGCCCAGCCACGACAGGAGAAUGGGGACAUGAGGACAGCAGGGGGCCCGGGGCCCGGGCUCUCGGGAAGGACGCUGGCAGCACCAGCCGGCUGUGGCCCAUCCCACAGCAGGGUCUGCCUCUGCCAACUUGAGCGGAGAACACGCACUUCUCAGGGUCGGCAAGUCUGCUCUCGGGUUCACUGAGACAGAAACGCCGCAGGGGCACGCGGGCUUGUGACAAAAGGAAAGCCGGCACCAGGCAGGACUCCCAAGACCUCAGGGGCAGCCCAGAAACACAGGCACCAGGCAGAGAAAUCUACGGGGCACCACCUCAAAGGUCUGUAAGCACAGCAGGGCAGGAGAAGACCGGGCGGCCCUAACGGAACCUCACCACCCUCCCAGAAGCGUAUCCUCCACAGCCAACCAGGAGCUUGAACUCGUGACCCCAACAUUGGGGGUCACACGGUCUUCCCACGGAGCCGACCUGGGGUCCCAA